GCAGAACAAAAAGCAGUGAAGAUCAAAACAAGUUAAUGAAAAAGAAAACAAUUGCAUGUAAUAAAUGGGAAGAGGCCAGAACUGUCAGUUCAUUUCAACUGAAUAUAAUGAGGAGUGAUGAAAAAAACGGCAGAGGAACCAGAGAAGUCAGUAGAAAAUUAGAAGCCGGUGGUCUCCUACUGAUCCAUAUUUUAAUUCUCUGGUAAGAGACUUGCAUUUGCAGUGUGCUUCAGAAAUCAGGACGUUGCAAUAUGGUAAACCUACACAAGUGCCCUGCAAUGAUGCUUCUUAUUGAAGAAAAGCCUUCAUGUAGGGAUGUCAAAGCCUUCCCAAGGGCAGGAUGCUGUUAAUGCUGCUCUUAGGCUGUAGAACAGCAGUUUGUCUUCUGGAAGAGUCAGAGAGCAAGAGGUGGUUACACGAGGAGAUGUGGUGGGACAGCCGUGCUGUUCUUGUGUCUGGGACCCACGUCAGUUUCCAGUGAAUCUGCGGAGUCCAAAAUUGCUGCAGCACAGCCUUGUACACAUUUGUGUGCUCUUAACCUUGGAGCAGCUGGAGAGCAACACCUGGAGGCAGGGGCUGUCUUAGGAGAGGAACCCCACUGCGGCACAUUCCAGCCAAGAUUGUAUUUCAAAUCACCUGGGUCUUCGUUCCUUCCAACACCCCUUUGAUCUACAAACUGCUCCUUAAAUGACUGAAACAGGAACUUGAGCCCCGGUGAAUUGGCUUUACCAGCCCUCUGAGACGAAUUUCUUAGACCUGCAGCAACUGUGAUGUGCCAUGCCUCUGCGCAGUCCUUAGGUCUGGAGUGGGAGCUCUGCACCACAGUGCCAUGAAGCAUUCAGGAGGCUCGUGCACGAGAUGCCCAUGCACUGGAUAAAGUCUUCAGCCACGGAGAAGCCCUACGAGCAGGAGCAGCUCAUGACAUCGCAGUGCAGUGUCACAGCUCUCUUCGACUUCCAGGCUGCCCCCAGGCCCCACAUCAGAUGCUGCUGGCUGCCCUGUUUUGUGAUGCAUGUUGCAGAGGGCUCCUUGCACAGCAGGAGAGCCAUGAGCUGCCUGAGGACUGCCACACCGCAGGCUGUGCUAUGGUCCUGCAGUCCUGCCCUACCUUGUGGCUGCAUGGGGCUUGCUGAAGUGCUGGGAGCUUCGUACCAUAUGAUGUGGUAUCCUACAACGAGUCGUCUCUGCUCCAUUUGCCAUGGCCAGUACGUUUCAGCACCAGCACCACUUCUGUCAUCUUUGUAA
rnacentral:lncRNA from 1 species